CUGGGGAGUACGGUCGCAAGAUUAAAACUCAAAUGAAUUGACGGGGGCCCGCACAAGCGGUGGAGCAUGUGGUUUAAUUCGAUGCAACGCGAAGAACCUUACCUACUCUUGACAUCCAGAGAACUUUCCAGAGAUGGAUUGGUGCCUUCGGGAACUCUGAGACAGGUGCUGCAUGGCUGUCGUCAGCUCGUGUUGUGAAAUGUUGGGUUAAGUCCCGCAACGAGCGCAACCCUUAUCCUUG
rnacentral:rRNA from 1 species